GAUGCCCCUCAAGAUGGCUGUGCCUGUCAGCUGCAUGGAGCUUCGUUCAAGUAUUUUCUGAGCCUGAUGGAUUUACAGUGAUCUUCAGUGGUCUGGGGAAUAACGCUGGUGGAACCAUGCACUGGAAUGACACACGCCCGGCACAUUUCAGGAUACUAAAAGUGGUUUUAAGGGAGGCUGUGGCUGAAUGCCUCAUGGAUUCUUACAGCUUGGAUGUCCAUGGGGGACGAAGGACUGCAGCUGGCUGAGAGGGUUGAGAUCUCUGUUUACUUAGAUCUCUGCCAACUUCCUUUGGGUCUCCCUAUGGAAUGUAAGACCCCGACUCUUCCUGGUGAAGCAUCUGAUGCACGUUCCAUCCGGCGCUCAGCUGGGCUUGAGCUGACCAUACUCCCUGGAGCCUUCUCCCGAGGUGCGCGGGUGACCUUGGCACAUACAGCCAUCAUGAUGGUACUUUAAGUGGAGGCUGAAUCAUCUCCCCUUUGAGCUGCUUGGCACGUGGCUCCCUUGGUGUUCCCCUUUUACUGCCAGGACACUGAGAUUUGGAGAGAGUCUCACUCUGUGGUCCAGGCUGAAGUACAGUGGCAUGAUCCCAGGUCACUGCAACCCCCACCUCCCGGGUUCAAGUGAUCCUCCUGCCUCAGCCUCCCGAGUAGCUGGUAUUACAGGCGUGUGCCACAAAGCCUGGCUAAGUUUUGUAUUUUUAGUAGAGACGGGGUUUCACCAUGUUGGCCAGGUUGGUCUCGAACUCCUGACCUCAAGUGAUCCACUCACUUUGGCCUUUCAACGUGCUGGGAUUACAGGCGAGAGUCACCGCACCCGGACGACUCUGACAUUUUUGAAGAGUCCAGAAUCCUGUUACACCUGGGAUUUAGGCACUUUCAAUCUGAAAAAAUACAUAUCCUUUCAGCACUCUGGACGGACUUGAGAACUGUCCUUACGUGACCUAAAGCUGGAGUAUUUUGAGAUUGGAGAAUUAAGAGCCAGUCUUGGUGCUCUGUGUUCACCUGGUUCAUCUGAGGAGCUGCAUCUACCCUGCCCAUGCCAUAGAUCCUGCCCUGUUUGCUUCUCCUGUUGCUGCUAGUGGACAUGAGAAGGACAGAAUAACGGGCUCCCAGAUUCACAAGCCCCACCAAGAGGAUCACCCCAGGAACGCUUGGAGGCUGAGGAGUUCACUGAGGCUACUGCAUCUUGAGACUCAGGAUGAAGACCCAGCUUGGGGCUGUCAAAGAGGCCUGAAGAGGCAGAACACCCCAGAGGAGCCUGGGGCCACCACCCAGCAUCACUGUGGGAAAACGGCAGCAGGAAAUGUCCUCUCGCCUGCGUGCUCCACCUCGGUCCACGCCUUCCCUCCUUCUGGAAGCCUUGCCUGACCACUGGCCUGCCCCUUCUAUGGGAAUCACUACUGACCUUGCAGCUUAUUAUAGACUUAUAUGUUUUUUGCAUGUCUGACACCCAUGACUCCACCUGGACCUUAUGGCUCCACCCAGAAGCAAUUCAGCCCAACAGGAGGACAGCUUCAACCCAUUACGAUUUCAUCUCUGCCCCAACCACUCAGCAGCAAGCACCUGUUACCUGUCCACCCCCACCCCUUCCCCCAAACUGCCUUUGAAAAAUCCCUAACCUAUGAGCUUUGAAUAAGAUGAGUACGAACUUCAUCGCCCACGUGGCGUGGCCGGCCUCGUGUCUAUUAAAUUCUUUUUCUACUA
rnacentral:lncRNA from 10 species